GGUUAAGCGACUAAGCGUACACGGUGGAUGCCCUGGCAGUCAGAGGCGAUGAAGGACGUGCUAAUCUGCGAUAAGCGUCGGUAAGGUGAUAUGAACCGUUAUAACCGGCGAUUUCCGAAUGGGGAAACCCAGUGUGAUUCGUCACACUAUCAUUAACUGAAUCCAUAGGUUAAUGAGGCGAACCGGGGGAACUGAAACAUCUAAGUACCCCGAGGAAAAGAAAUCAACCGAGAUUCCCCCAGUAGCGGCGAGCGAACGGGGAGGAGCCCAGAGCCUGAAUCAGUGUGUGUGUUAGUGGAAGCGUCUGGAAAGGCGCGCGAUACAGGGUGACAGCCCCGUACACAAAAAUGCACAUGCUGUGAGCUCGAUGAGUAGGGCGGGACACGUGGUAUCCUGUCUGAAUAUGGGGGGACCAUCCUCCAAGGCUAAAUACUCCUGACUGACCGAUAGUGAACCAGUACCGUGAGGGAAAGGCGAAAAGAACCCCGGCGAGGGGAGUGAAAAAGAACCUGAAACCGUGUACGUACAAGCAGUGGGAGCCUCUUAAUGGGGUGACUGCGUACCUUUUGUAUAAUGGGUCAGCGACUUAUAUUCUGUAGCAAGGUUAACCGAAUAGGGGAGCCGAAGGGAAACCGAGUCUUAACUGGGCGUUAAGUUGCAGGGUAUAGACCCGAAACCCGGUGAUCUAGCCAUGGGCAGGUUGAAGGUUGGGUAACACUAACUGGAGGACCGAACCGACUAAUGUUGAAAAAUUAGCGGAUGACUUGUGGCUGGGGGUGAAAGGCCAAUCAAACCGGGAGAUAGCUGGUUCUCCCCGAAAGCUAUUUAGGUAGCGCCUCGUGAAUUCAUCUCCGGGGGUAGAGCACUGUUUCGGCAAGGGGGUCAUCCCGACUUACCAACCCGAUGCAAACUGCGAAUACCGGAGAAUGUUAUCACGGGAGACACACGGCGGGUGCUAACGUCCGUCGUGAAGAGGGAAACAACCCAGACCGCCAGCUAAGGUCCCAAAGUCAUGGUUAAGUGGGAAACGAUGUGGGAAGGCCCAGACAGCCAGGAUGUUGGCUUAGAAGCAGCCAUCAUUUAAAGAAAGCGUAAUAGCUCACUGGUCGAGUCGGCCUGCGCGGAAGAUGUAACGGGGCUAAACCAUGCACCGAAGCUGCGGCAGCGACACUAUGUGUUGUUGGGUAGGGGAGCGUUCUGUAAGCCUGUGAAGGUGGCCUGUGAGGGUUGCUGGAGGUAUCAGAAGUGCGAAUGCUGACAUAAGUAACGAUAAAGCGGGUGAAAAGCCCGCUCGCCGGAAGACCAAGGGUUCCUGUCCAACGUUAAUCGGGGCAGGGUGAGUCGACCCCUAAGGCGAGGCCGAAAGGCGUAGUCGAUGGGAAACAGGUUAAUAUUCCUGUACUUGGUGUUACUGCGAAGGGGGGACGGAGAAGGCUAUGUUGGCCGGGCGACGGUUGUCCCGGUUUAAGCGUGUAGGCUGGUUUUCCAGGCAAAUCCGGAAAACCAAGGCUGAGGCGUGAUGACGAGGCACUACGGUGCUGAAGUGACAAAUGCCCUGCUUCCAGGAAAAGCCUCUAAGCAUCAGGUAACAUCAAAUCGUACCCCAAACCGACACAGGUGGUCAGGUAGAGAAUACCAAGGCGCUUGAGAGAACUCGGGUGAAGGAACUAGGCAAAAUGGUGCCGUAACUUCGGGAGAAGGCACGCUGAUAUGUAGGUGAAGCGACUUGCUCGUGGAGCUGAAAUCAGUCGAAGAUACCAGCUGGCUGCAACUGUUUAUUAAAAACACAGCACUGUGCAAACACGAAAGUGGACGUAUACGGUGUGACGCCUGCCCGGUGCCGGAAGGUUAAUUGAUGGGGUUAGCGGUAACGCGAAGCUCUUGAUCGAAGCCCCGGUAAACGGCGGCCGUAACUAUAACGGUCCUAAGGUAGCGAAAUUCCUUGUCGGGUAAGUUCCGACCUGCACGAAUGGCGUAAUGAUGGCCAGGCUGUCUCCACCCGAGACUCAGUGAAAUUGAACUCGCUGUGAAGAUGCAGUGUACCCGCGGCAAGACGGAAAGACCCCGUGAACCUUUACUAUAGCUUGACACUGAACAUUGAGCCUUGAUGUGUAGGAUAGGUGGGAGGCUUUGAAGUGUGGACGCCAGUCUGCAUGGAGCCGACCUUGAAAUACCACCCUUUAAUGUUUGAUGUUCUAACGUUGGCCCCUAAUCGGGGUUGCGGACAGUGUCUGGUGGGUAGUUUGACUGGGGCGGUCUCCUCCUAAAGAGUAACGGAGGAGCACGAAGGUUGGCUAAUCCUGGUCGGACAUCAGGAGGUUAGUGCAAUGGCAUAAGCCAGCUUGACUGCGAGCGUGACGGCGCGAGCAGGUGCGAAAGCAGGUCAUAGUGAUCCGGUGGUUCUGAAUGGAAGGGCCAUCGCUCAACGGAUAAAAGGUACUCCGGGGAUAACAGGCUGAUACCGCCCAAGAGUUCAUAUCGACGGCGGUGUUUGGCACCUCGAUGUCGGCUCAUCACAUCCUGGGGCUGAAGUAGGUCCCAAGGGUAUGGCUGUUCGCCAUUUAAAGUGGUACGCGAGCUGGGUUUAGAACGUCGUGAGACAGUUCGGUCCCUAUCUGCCGUGGGCGCUGGAGAACUGAGGGGGGCUGCUCCUAGUACGAGAGGACCGGAGUGGACGCAUCACUGGUGUUCGGGUUGUCAUGCCAAUGGCACUGCCCGGUAGCUAAAUGCGGAAGAGAUAAGUGCUGAAAGCAUCUAAGCACGAAACUUGCCCCGAGAUGAGUUCUCCCUGAGACUUAGAGUCUCCUGAAGGAACGUUGAAGACGACGACGUUGAUAGGCCGGGUGUGUAAGCGCAGCGAUGCGUUGAGCUAACCGGUACUAAUGAACCGUGAGGCUUAACCUU
rnacentral:rRNA from 2 species